rnacentral:rRNA from 1 species
CCUACGGGAGGCAGCAGUGAGGAAUAUUGGUCAAUGGGCGGAAGCCUGAACCAGCCAAGUAGCGUGAAGGAUGACUGCCCUAUGGGUUGUAAACUUCUUUUAUGCGGGGAUAAAGUUCGCCACGUGUGGCGUUUUUGCAGGUACCGCAUGAAUAAGGACCGGCUAAUUCCGUGCCAGCAG